CUACGGGCCGCUGCAGUGGGGAAUAUUGCACAAUGGAGGAAACUCUGAUGCAGCAACGCCGCGUGGAGGAUGACACUUUUCGGAGCGUAAACUCCUUUUAUAUAGGAAGAAGAUGACGGUACUAUAUGAAUAAGCGCCGGCUAACUCCGUGCCAGCAGCCGCGGUAAUACGGAGGGCGCAAGCGUUACUCGGAAUCACUGGGCGUAAAGAGCGUGUAGGCGGAUUAAAAAGUCAGAAGUGAAAUCCUAUAGCUUAACCAUAGAACUGCUUCUGAAACUCUUAAUCUAGAAUAUGGGAGAGGUAGAUGGAAUUUCUGGUGUAGGGGUAAAAUCCGUAGAGAUCAGAAGGAAUACCGAUUGCGAAGGCGAUCUACUAGGACAUUAUUGACGCUGAGACGCGAAAGCGUGGGGAGCAAACAGGAUUAGAUACCCCGGUAGUC
rnacentral:rRNA from 1 species